GAGCGGGCGAGGUUGCUUCGGUAACUGAGCUAGCGGCGGACGGGUGAGUAAUGCUUAGGAAUCUGCCUAUUAGUGGGGGACAACAUUCCGAAAGGAAUGCUAAUACCGCAUACGCCCUACGGGGGAAAGCAGGGGAUCUUCGGACCUUGCGCUAAUAGAUGAGCCUAAGUCAGAUUAGCUAGUUGGUGGGGUAAAGGCCUACCAAGGCGACGAUCUGUAGCGGGUCUGAGAGGAUGAUCCGCCACACUGGGACUGAGACACGGCCCAGACUCCUACGGGAGGCAGCAGUGGGGAAUAUUGGACAAUGGGCGCAAGCCUGAUCCAGCCAUGCCGCGUGUGUGAAGAAGGCCUUUUGGUUGUAAAGCACUUUAAGCGAGGAGGAGGCUACUUGGAUUAAUACUCUAGGAUAGUGGACGUUACUCGCAGAAUAAGCACCGGCUAACUCUGUG
rnacentral:rRNA from 1 species